GGAAGUAAAAUUUUAAAACGCAUCAUUACAUAACAACCAAGUUGGAAUCCGAAGAGUGAUCCAGGAGUAACUCUCGUAAUCUCAGGUUGCCCAAUCAUUUUUGUAUCCCAUCAUGAGGAUGUUGGGAUGGACUUUGCCUACUCCUGAGAGGCCGAGCAUUGCAGUCACACCCGAAUGUAGAUUCGAAUUAUCCGCGACGACACAAAAUCCUUUGAUGUUCGUGAACCGCAGUUCGUUCUCGGGACCUCUGAUGCUGCCGACAACAAAGUUUGUUAAGGAAACCAUCAUGAUAACGAUCAUAAUGUUCUUCAUCUAGCAUGCCCGAAGUUGUGAAAGAGACAGUAGGGUCCAAGGCCGCAAACUGCACAUGUAAAUAUUGUUGUCAGGGUGCCGACGACGCGGAUGUCGUUGAGGGCUCCAUCGAAGAUGAUGUACCCACCGUAUUCUUUCAUCAUGUCCAGAACGGUCUGAGCAAAACCAACUAUAUUGAGGGCGCAGUCCAUUGCGUUGGCGAUGGUAAAGAUGAUGCCGAUUGAACCGCCUAAUUCCGGACCCAACACUCUCGACCUAAAUUACUCAAAGUAUGUCCUAUUUUCAACUUUUCUUUUAAUAGCUAAAACCCUAGAUGGGUUAAGUAACUUACAUCACGAAGUAGGUACCACCUGAAUAUAAAGUGAAAAC